UCAGAAAUGAUGAAUUGAUUAUAUGGAUGAGGCUGGGGUCCCCCUUCCAAUGUGUAUCAAAGCGAUUCUGAUCUG